rnacentral:rRNA from 1 species
CAUCAUGCGGGGCACCGUGAUAGGGACCUCGAGUGCCUGUACAUGCAGGCUGUUCAGGGUGUCUAAAACACACCUGAAGAAAGGGCCGGGCAAGACCGGUGCCAGCCGCCGCGGUAAUACCGGCGGCUCGAGUGGUGGCCACUUUUAUUGGGCUUAAAGCGUUCGUAGCUGGGUUGUUAAGUCUCUUGGGAAAUCUGACGGCUCAACCGUCAGGCGUCUAAGGGAUACUGGCAAUCUUGGAACCGGGAGAGGUGAGGGGUACUUCGGGGGUAGGAGUGAAAUCCUGUAAUCC